rnacentral:rRNA from 1 species
AUAAGGUCUUUUAAAAAAAAUUAUGCUGUUAUCCCUAAGGUAAUUAAUUUUAAUAAUUUAAAUUUUAAGAUAUUAUGUUCAAAAAUUAUUGUUAAAAUUUUAAAAAAAUUUUUUAAAUUUUUUAAUUACCCCAAUUAAAGUUAUUAAUUAAAUUUUAUAAAAUUAUUUUAUUUAAAUUAAUUAAUAAAUAAAAUUCUAUAGGGUCUUGUCGUCUUUUAUGUUUAUUUAAGUUUUUUUACUUAAAUAAAAAUUUAAAUUUUUAUUUAAUUUAUAAAGUUUAUAUUUCAUUAAAUCAUUCAUUCUAGUUUUUAAUUAAAAAACAAAUUAUUAUGCUACCUUUGUACAGUUAUUAAUUCUGCAGCCAUUUUUAAUUUAAA